UUUUGAAAAAGACCCUACGUGCUCAUUUCCUGCUUGAAUUAUGCAGAAACGGGCAGCGUUUAGGUCAUGUGAUUGAUUAUGUUGGAAAGGGGAGAAAUUGUGCUUUACAAUGGUGUUGACAUUACAGUUGAUCUGGAAAUAUUACGUUUUGGGGGCACUAAAAUAAGGGCAAUUGUACAGACCAAGGCGAUGUACGAGUUUACUAUAGCUGGUUAACAGGGAGCCUUUCAUCGAGCCGCCUGUAUUGCUGGCCUUGCCUGCAUUUUGGAAAGUCUGAGCCUUGGUCGAAAGAGGACACGACGAGAGGGAAAGCUCUGCCAACAAGGGCAACUACAAGGAGUUUGAAGAGUCAAAUCCUGUCCUACACUGGUCAAGCCUCUGAACACCUCAACUCAU